rnacentral:rRNA from 1 species
UACGGGGGGUGCAAGCGUUGUUCGGAAUUAUUGGGCGUAAAGCGCGUGUAGGCGGUUUGAUUAGUCUGAUGUGAAAGCCCUGGGCUCAACCCAGGAAGUGCAUUGGAUACUGUCAGACUUGAAUACGGGAGAGGGUAGUGGAAUUCCUAGUGUAGGAGUGAAAUCCGUAGAUAUUAGGAGGAACACCGGUGGGCGAAGGCGGCUACCUGGACCGAUAUUGACGCUGAGACGCGAAAGCGUGGGUAGCAAACAGG